AUUGAACGCUGGCGGCAGGCUUCACACAUGCAAGUCGAACGAGUGGCGGACGGGUGAGUAAUGUCUGUGAAACUGCCUGAUUUAGGGGAUUAACUACUGGAAACGGUAGCUAAUACCGCAUACCAUCAGAUGUGCCCAGCUGGGAUUAGCUAGUUGGUGGGGUAUAGGCUCACCAAGGCGACGAUCCCUAGCUGGGCUGAGAGGAUGACCAGCCACACUGGAACUGGGACACGGGCCAGACUCCUACGGGAGGCAGCAGUGGGGAAUAUUGGACAAUGGACGCAAGCCUGAUGCAGCCAUGCCGCGUGUAUGAAGAAGGCCUUCGGGUUGUAAAGUACUUUCAGCGGGGAGGCGUUACCCGCAGAAGAAGCACCGGCGAACUCCGUGCCAGCAGCCGCGGUAAUUC
rnacentral:rRNA from 1 species